rnacentral:lncRNA from 1 species
UUGAACAUUAAUUAAUGGGGACACUUCUUAUUUCAUUUGACUUUCAUGGGUUUUGUCCAUCAACACUACACUGUGGAAUGGAUGAUUCUUUCCUACUGCAGCAUCUUACUGUUAAUACCUAUGUAUGGCUUCAUGCUAGCCAAAAGGUUAGAUGUUACAAUUAUUUAUGCAAAUCUCAAUUUGCUUUUGCGCUGUAGACUGUACAAAUAAAGCUGCAGCAAUUGAUUAUACAUCACUGACAGCAGAAGAAACAUACAGUUUCAUCAAUGAAAAAACUGAGUCAUGUAACAGCUCAAUAGUUAUGUGCAGCCUCAUGAGAAUGACAAUCAAAACCAGAUCAUAAUGAUAUGAAUAUUUAUUGGGUACCUCAUCCUGCUUGGUGAUUUUGAUAGUCAGUAGAAAAUAUGUUUAAAGGGAAACAUUUCAGUUUUUAUUGAAUACUCUUUUAUAAAAUACAGUGUUCUAUAUUGGAGUUUUUAAGUAUUUUACAUUGGUUCUCUUGUUUUUAAGUUUUAUUAUUCUAUAGUUAUUUGAUUUAAUCUUAAAAAGGAUAAAUAUUGUAUUUAAUAUCUAUAUUCACAAACAUUUCUAUGUCUGACACAGGUCCACUGUUGUUUUAUAUGGAUAUUAUUUUUGUAAAUCGGGCUGAGGAAUAGUUAGAAAUGACAUAAAUGUAUAAAAAUAAUGUCUUAAACAUUUAAAAUAAAUGUGUUCAUCAAAAUAAUGGUCUAAGUCUAAAUUACCAAAAAAAAAAAAAAACAAAGAAAGAAAGAAAUAGAAUGCAUAAAUUCCAAACUGUUAGAGAGGAAGAAAAAAGAGAAUAAAGAGAACUCUCUCAGUUCAACCAAAGUCUGGAAAGGAAGGAGAAAAAAAAAUCAAGGAAAAAAUAGGCCAAAUAUUUAAUGAGCAUCUGCUAUAGAUCAGAAACUUUUCUCUGAAAAUGUUAUUCAAAUAAAGUUGUAAGAACAAUAAGGGUAAAUAGAUUAAACUCUUCUGUUAAAUGUCAAAGACUUUCAGGUUUUAAAAAACACUGUUUUUUUUUUUUUUUAAAGACUCUCUCUCAUCUCUCUACUAUCUAUAUAUGCAUAUAUGACAUACCUGAAUCAAAACAUACAGAAAGACUUAUACAAAGAAAUGGAACAGAUAUAUAAUAUGAAUGUGUUUUACCUAAUGACAUAGCCUUAAAAUAUUUAAAGCCAAAGAUUUAGAAUUACAGGUAAAGCCAACAAAUGCACAUAAAUUUUUACUCAGCCAUUAAAAGGAACAAAAUAAUGGCAUUUUUAGCAACAUGGCUGGAUCUAGAAAUUAUCAUGCUAAGUGAAGUCAGUCAGACUAUUUGACACCAACAUCAAAUGCUAUCACUUACAUGUGGAAUCUGAAAAAAGGACGCAAUGAAUUUCUUUGCAGAACAGAUACUGACUCACAGACUUUGAAAAACAUAGUUUCCAAAGGAGAGAUGUGGGGGGGGGUGAGUUGCGCUGGGGGUUUGGGAUGGAAAUGCUAUAAAAUUGGGUUGGGAUGAUCAUUGUACAACUAUGUAAUGUAAUAAAUGUAAUAAAUUCAUUGAGUAAUAUAAAAAAGAAAAAAAUCAAAGUUUACCUUUAUAAUUAAUAGCAUAAGGCACAUUCUUUUGUUUCAAGUUGGCAUUAACUAGAUUGUUAGGCCAUCUGAUCUGUCUGUUAAAUCAUAAAGCAAAAUCUUAACAGAAUCUUCUCCUGAUUCUGAAAUCAAAAUCCUCUGGCAUUCUGGCUAAUUAGUCUUAACACAUCUGCUUUCUGCUUCCAUUUGUUCCUUGCUUUUCUAGUGAACAGUUAUGAAAGACUAUUAAAUCUCAGCACCUAAGGAAAACAGGACACAGAUGAGAAUGUAUCUAUUUACCAAAGCAUUCUCUACAAGUGAAGGAAAUCAUACUACUCUCUAAUUCUGGAGGAGAUAGAUGUCCUUUGUAUCUUUUAACGCACUCAGAUUGCCUAAAUGAAUGAGAAAAUAACAUUAAAAGUUUUGAAUUCUACAACUAUGCAUUCUAGUUGCCAAGAAGAAAAGUACAAGACGUGGGCAUUCUACAUUUAUUUUGGUAAGUAAUCUUAAUGAGGAAAUCUUGUUAAUAAUAAAUAAAAUGAGAUGCAAUAUGGAAAAGUUAUGAUAUUCAAAAGUGUAUUUGGUUGUUUAAAUUGGGUUACAUUAUUUUGUUCGGAAACUUGGUAGAUAAUGUGGUACUACAUCAUCUGGAUUUCUUUUAGUAAAACACAGAUUGGAUAUUUAAACACAAAGAAUGCCUACAACACCCUGUUAUAUCAUAUCUUCCUGACCAAGAAUGUACUUCUUUAGAUAUGAUAACUAGUGAAUACAGUCAGCCUUUACCACAAUGAAAUUAAACAGAAGCCCAAAGGAGUGAUAAAGCAGAUCAAUCAGAAAAGAUAAAACUAUGAAGUUAACAUUUCAAAUUAUUGGGUUUUUUUUGGUAUAAUUUUCAUUUUGCCUUUUUUUCUCUUUCUGGUAUUUGGGUGUAUAUUGUAUUACUUUCUAAGUGGUUCUUCUGGCUAUUCUGUGUUCAUCUUCUGCAAAGCAUUAGUGAUAGCAUGUAGAAAAUAAACUGUGGUCUUCAAAACAAUGUUAAUCUAAGCAUAAUUUUUGCCUUAAAAGGGUUAGUCUCCUUUACAUACCCGUAACGAUUGCCACACUUUGCUAGGCCCAAGACUUUUAAUAUUUUUGCUGAUAUUUAAUUACUAUAGAAUAGGACAGGUCAAACUGGCCACAAAUAUGGAAGAUGUGUUUGGAUGACUCUAGAACUGCUGACCAACCUAAACUGAGAAUCAAAACCAGAAUUAGAAUUUCUUCCUUGUCUAGAAAUUUUUCAUUCCCUCUCUAUUCUUCAGUAUUCCUUCUGAGAAUAGUCUUUAAUAUUCUUCAUUCUAUUUGUUAUUCCAAUUCUUUAUUACUAUAUUUUUUGAAACCUAAAGCACUUUGACUACUAGUUUAAUUUUUCUGAAUUGUCUAUAGUCUUUAACUUUAUUCUAUUAUACAUGGUCAUACAACUGAUAUAAAGUAAAGGUUAAACCCUAAGUCCAAAAUAGGUUUAAAGAGAGUAUGGGAAGAAAUAAGCUAUACUACUACUUCAUUGUCAUGAUGGUCUAUUGAACCAUUCUGAUUAUCUUCUCUUACUGUGACAGGAUAACCUGUUCAAAUAAGUUUAUAUCUUUCAAUUUUAGUUAGCUGGACCAAAAAAUUUUUACCAGGUCAAUAAGGAAAACUUCUAAGUGUUAUCUUCUCAAUUUUAGUUGAAAAUGUGAUGUAACUUAAUUUUAUCAUUAAUAACAAAAAUCAGCAUUUACACUUAUAAUUUGAUAUGUUAGGCUGAAAAUAUAAAUUCUCCAUUAAAAUAUUUUUUGUCUUACAAUUUGGACAAGUUAAAUAAAAUACCCCAUAUAAUGUUAUUUUAAAGGUUUUUAAAAUUAAUAUUAAUUUUUUUAUAGUGUGGCUGUCUUUAAAAUAUUGAUGGAGUUCCCAUUGUGGCUCAGUGGGUUAGGGACCUGAAAGUUGUCUCUGUGAUGAUAUAGGUUCGAUCCUUGGCCUAGAUCAGUGGGUUAAGGAUCCAACAUUGCCUCACACUGUGGUAUAGGUCGUGCAGAUGAGGCUUGGAUCCACUGUUGUUGUGGCUGAGGUGUAGGCCUACAGCUUCAGCUCCAAUUCAACCCCUGGCCCAGGAACUUCCAUAUGCCACAGAUAUG